rnacentral:rRNA from 1 species
ACGUAGGGUGCGAGCGUUGUCCGGAAUUAUUGGGCGUAAAGAGCUCGUAGGCGGUCUGUCACGUCGGAUGUGAAAUCCCGGGGCUCAACCCCGGGCCUGCAUUCGAUACGGGCAGACUAGAGUACGGUAGGGGAGACUGGAACUCCUGGUGUAGCGGUGAAAUGCGCAGAUAUCAGGAAGAACACCGGUGGCGAAGGCGGGUCUCUGGACCGAAACUGACGCUGAGGAGCGAAAGCGUGGGGAGCGAACAGGAUUAGAUACCCUGGUAGUCCACGCCGUAAACGUUGGGCGCUAGGUGUGGGGGACUUUCCACGUUCUCCGUGCCGCAGCUAACGCAUUAAGCGCCCCGCCUGGGGAGUACGGCCGCAAGGCUA